CCUACGGGAGGCAGCAGUGGGGAAUAUUGGACAAUGGGGGAAACCCUGAUCCAGCGACGCCGCGUGAGUGAAGAAGUAUUUCGGUACGUAAAGCUCUAUCAGCAGGAAAGAAAGAAAUGACUGUACCUGACUAAGAAGCCCCGGCUAACUACGUGCCAGCAGCCGCGGUAAUACGUAGGGGGCAAGCGUUAUCCGGAUUUACUGGGUGUAAAGGGAGCGUAGACGGCUGAGCAAGUCUGAAGUGAAAGGCGGGGGCCCAACCCCCGGACUGCUUUGGAAACUGUAUAGCUAGAGUGCAGGAGAGGUAAGUGGAAUUCCUAGUGUAGCGGUGAAAUGCGUAGAUAUUAGGAGGAACACCAGUGGCGAAGGCGGCUUACUGGACUGUAACUGACGUUGAGGCUCGAAAGCGUGGGGAGCAAACAGGAUUAGAUACCCCUGUAGUC
rnacentral:rRNA from 1 species